AAUGUUUUAGUGAGGUCUUCGGACUGGCGCGCGGGGCUCUUUCGGGAGCGCCGAUGUCGUCGGAAAGAUGACCAAACUUGAAUAUUUAGAGGAAGUAAAAGUCGUAACAAGGUUGCUGUAGGUGAACCUGCAGCAGGAUCAUUA
rnacentral:rRNA from 1 species